GAUGAACGCUAGCGGCAGGCUUAACACAUGCAAGUCGAGGGGCAGCAUGACGGAACCUUCGGGUUUUGUUGAUGGCGACCGGCGCAAGGGUGCGUAACGCGUGAGCAACUUGCCCGUUUCAGGGGGAUAACCGGUGGAAACGCCGACUAAUACCCCAUGGCAUUGAGUUGAGGCAUCUCUACUCAAUUAAAGAAUUUCGGAUAAGGAUAGGCUCGCGUGACAUUAGCUAGACGGCGGGGUAACGGCCCACCGUGGCGACGAUGUCUAGGGGUUCUGAGAGGAAGGUCCCCCACACUGGAACUGAGACACGGUCCAGACUCCUACGGGAGGCAGCAGUGAGGAAUAUUGGUCAAUGGUCUGACGACUGAACCAGCCAUGCCGCGUGAAGGUCACGGCCCUAUGGGUCUUAAACUUCUUUUGCGAGGGAGCAAUAAGGCGCACGUGUGCGUCGAUGAGAGUACCUGCGAAUAAGCAUCGGCUAACUCCGUGCCAG
rnacentral:rRNA from 1 species